GUUGCUUUUCACUGCAUACUGGACAAGUGAAGUUAUACGCUCAAGAAAACUACAAGAGAUGGAGAUUUUGAAGACUGCACUUUUUAUUCUUCUGAUUGUGACGACAGCAACUUCGAAGCCAGCCCGUUUCCGUGGUGUCCACUCCAGACAGUGGAGUGUCAGCAGCUCAGAAUCCUCUGAGUCCUCAGAGUCCAACGAGUCCAGUGACUCCUCAGAGGAGGUUACCACUUCCAUGCCAACUCCCCAGACGACCACAAAAAAAAUGACAACGCCAGUCAUCAUCCCUUCCACGAGAACUCAACCUAUCACCAA